rnacentral:rRNA from 1 species
GACGAACGCUGGCGGCGUGCCUAAUACAUGCAAGUAGAACGCUGAAACUUGGUGCUUGCACCGAGCGGAUGAGUUGCGAACGGGUGAGUAACGCGUAGGUAACCUGCCUGGUAGCGGGGGAUAACUAUUGGAAACGAUAGCUAAUACCGCAUAAGAGUAGAUGUUGCAUGACAUUUGCUUAAAAGGUGCAAUUGCACCACUACCAGAUGGACCUUCGUUGUAUUAGCUAGUUGGUGGGGUAACGGCUCACCAAGGCGACGAUACAUAGCCGACCUGAGAGGGUGAUCGGCCACACUGGGACGGAGACACGGCCCAGACUCCUACAGGAGGGAGCAGUAGGGAAUCUGCGGCAAUGGGCGGAAGUCUGAGCGAGCAACGCCGCGGGAGUGAAGAAGGGUUUCGGAUCGUAAAGCUCUGUUGUAAGAGAAGAACGAGUGUGAGAGUGGAAAGUUCACACUGUGACGGUAUCUGACCAGAAAGGGACGGCUAACUACGUG